rnacentral:rRNA from 1 species
AAACCAACAGGGAUUGCCUCAGUAACGGCGAGUGAAGCGGCAACAGCUCAAAUUUGAAAUCUGGCCUUCGGGUCCGAAUUGUAAUUUGUAGAGGAAGCUUUUGGUGAGGUACCUUCCGAGUUCCUUGGAACAGGACGCCUUAGAGGGUGAGAGCCCCGUACGGUUGGAUGCCAAACCUUUGUAUAGCUCCUUCGACGAGUCGAGUAGUUUGGGAAUGCUGCUCUAAAUGGGAGGUAAAUUUCUUCUAAAGCUAAAUACCGGCCAGAGACCGAUAGCGCACAAGUAGAGUGAUCGAAAGAUGAAAAGCACUUUGAAAAGAGGGUUAAAUAGUACGUGAAAUUGUUGAAAGGGAAGGGUUUAUGACCAGACCUUUGCCUUGCGGAUCAUCCGGUGUUCUCACCGGUGCACUUCGCUUGGUUUAGGCCAGCAUCGAUUCUGGUAGGGGGAUAAAGGCUUUGGGAAUGUGACUCUUCGGAGUGUUAUAGCCCUUUGCGUAAUACCUUUACUGGGAUCGAGGACCGCGCUUUUGCAAGGAUGCUGGCAUAAUGGUCAUCAACCAC